GGAGUCAGUGUGGUUUUACGAAAAGCAGCCUUGGAGGCAGCUAGACCUGAAUUUGAAUCUCAGCUCUGCCGCCUCAGCUGUGCCGCCUUGAACACGUCACUUCUCUGAACCUUGAUUUCUUCAGCCAUAAAAUGGGCUGAGUGCCAGGAAAUGACAAGGACAACCUUGGAGGCCACAUGAUGAAGACAGCAGAACUUCUGUUAGCCUGGGUGCCCAGGGGUGGAGAGCUGCUCUUGAAAACUGAGAACAUUUGCUUUGGGCUGUUUUAUAACCCCCCAAAACAACAACAACAACAACAACAACAACAACAACAACAACAAGUGGAAUAGAAGUAUCUUACACAUCAGGAUGGAAUCCAGCACAGGCUUUGUUUUGUUUUGGUUCUGAGAAGGUCAUAGCCCUCAGAAGGCUCUGGUCACACAGCACAGCAAUAUUCAAGGGGAGUCUUCCUGCAGAGGAGACCCCAGAGAGCUCCCUUGCCCCUCUGCCAUGUGAGGACCAGAGAAAAGACAGGCAUGGGUGACCAGGAAGAGGGCUCUUACCAGACGCUGAAUCUGUUGGCAUCUUGACCUUGGACCUCCGGCCUCCAGAACUGCAGCAGUGGGCAAGGGGAACCUAUGGCUGUUUAUAAGGAGGGCGGUCCUUCUCCAGCCCUCCCCAGAUCUGGAAACAGGAUGCACAUGACCUAGAAGUACACUGUGCGGGACAACCGUGAAUGUGGCAGGGUGCCGCUAUAAGAGAAGGACGGUAUUAAUCCCCUUUAGAAGAAGUGGCCCAGUUUGGACCAUACGUCAUACGCUCACUCUGUCUAUAGCGAGAGAUGAGGCUUCAAGGAAAGCUUGCAGCAGGAUUAAGGGAAGGAGGCCAAAGAAUUUGGAUUUGAGUCUCUUGGCUCAGGUCUCCUCCUCCACUGUCUGCAGGGCCUUGGUGUGAGCAAGCAAACGAAGCCCCAGAGUGGCAGACGCUGCGACCCCCAGCUCUGGUCAGGAGCUGCUGUGUAAACGUGUGCACUUGGGUUCUUAGUUUAGCUUCUCCAAAGGGAGAGAACCAGUGAGAUGUAUAUAGAUACAGACAAGAGGAGAUUAUAGGAAUUGGCUCAUGUGUUAUGGAGACGGAGAAGCCUGUCGAAAGCUGGUGGUAUAAUUCAGUCUGAGUCUGAAGCCUAAGAAUAGGGCUGGGGUGGGGCAAUGGUGUAUAUCCCAGUUUAAGUCUGAAACUCAGAGGACCAGGAGCAUUGAUGUCUGAGCGUGGGAGAAGAUGGAUGUCUCUCAAGCAGGGAGAAUGAUUUUGCCCAUCCUCCACCUUCUUGUUCUGUCAGGCUCUCAACAGAUUGGAUGGUGCCCACCCAGAUUGGUGAGGGAGAUCGUCUUUACUCAGUCUACCAACUGAAAUGCUAAUCUCUUUUGGAAACACCCUCACAGACGCAUCCAGAAAUAAUGUCUAACCAGCUAUCUGGGCAUCUCUUAGCCCAGUCAAGUUAACACAUAAAAUUAACCAUCACACUUGGGCUUGCCAGAUUUCCUGGUGUUUGAGACAAGCCAGAAAUCUUAAUUUUUAUGUGCAACUCCUGAUUUUAAAAUAUUGGUUCAAAAUUUUGAAAACAGUGUCAGUUGCACAAAACCUGUCUGUAUACUGUGACUGGCCUGAGGCCACCAGUCUGCCCCGUUGCUAGGAAGUGGGGGUCUGGGGAAGAUUUCCAAGGAAGGGGGCAGCUUGGUUAGAGCUGAAGAUCGCUAGGACCUUGAUGUCAAGGAGGCAUCAGGUCAGAUGAAGGUAGAGGCGGGGCUUGUGAUUGGGAGCUUCUUGCCAUUGUCCAGGUGGGCCACAAGGCAGACCUGAACAAGGCUGGGGCAUUGAGGGUGCAGAUGAAGACCAAAUGCUAGACAUGUUGCAGGGACCUGGAAGGUCUGGGCCUGAGAGGUUGGGUCAAGGAGGGUGCAGUAAAGUGAGACUGAGGCCCCCAGCAGGUCUGUGGGUUUCACACAUAGAUGUAACAGUCUCCACAGUAGGCCAGAGGGUCCAGGAACACAAACCCCAUGAGGCUUUGCUUCUUCCUUGGAGAUCCUGCUUGGAAUUCAGCAUCAUCUUUGAUGAGAGAGGAACAUGGUGUAAGUGCUGGUAACCAGCUCCUCUGGCUAGGGAAGCCCAACCCCUUGGGGGCUGAAUCAGUGGCUGAGCCUUCUCAAAGUGUGGAACAUGGUUAAGUCCUGGGGAGGUGCACUGACUUCUCAGCCAGCCUCUGGUGGUAUGCAAGAAAUCCAUCAUAAGCUUGGUUAGCUCAUUUGGCGGACCUAUGCUAAUUCUGUGUCAUCACCAGUAGCAUUUAUGGUUCAUAAGAGACUUUUUUUUUUUUUUCAAGAGCAUGUAUUUCAGAUAGCUGCAAACACAACCAUUUCCUCACUGAGCUGCUUCCUGCUUCAGGAGCAUGACUCUCUGAUUCCGGAAGCUGAGUAGGAAUCUGAGCUGUUGUAAUCAGGGGUGGACUUUCAUGCUGGGGUGUUAACCAGGGUGCAGGUCAGCAAAGCCAAAGCCAUAUAGAUGAUAUGCAGAUGAUAAGUAAUUCUCACAGGGGCCCUGUGCAGUGGAUCUGAUAUUAUCCCCAUACUAUAAAUGAGGAGACUGAGGUUCCCAGGGGAGAGGAGAGAUAAGACAACAAAACAGAGAAAAAAGCCAAAUCAAGUAUCAAUCAAAUUGCGACCUACUGUGGACAGGAUGUGCUUAACCACUAGACUGUACUGUCUGUGAGUGCGUGAAGGACUCUAUGAAGAAUAAGGGGGACAGAAGCAAGAUUAGGCAGAGAGGCUUUGGGAGAUGUAGACAGAAAAAGGAAGAAGUGGGUAGGAAGACUCUCAGCCUGUAGCACAAUGCUGAGUAAGUCUGGGUGAGGCUAGCUAGGCCCCCACUGGUCCCCAGCUAGUAUCCUAGAAAGGUUGCCCAUUGCAAGAGUCCCCUGGCAGGAGUGGCCCAGCCCUAGCACCCUGCUGCACUUGGCCUUGAGUUGGGAGCCACCCUGGGAAGUGCAACAUUGGUACAGAUGUGGUGGAGGGUCCCCAGGGUGGCAGUGGGGCUGUCAGUCAUCUGCUCUUCACAGCAGGUUCUCCCGAAGGAGGUUUGAGCGGUCCCCUCCACAGCCACCAUAGGCCCCACCCAUGCUCGCUCCCUAAUACUCACACACACUGCAAAGAGCCCACAUGUGGCAGAGCCCAGAUGGACAGGGGAGAACAUUCUAAUUUCAAGUCAGGAUUCAAAUUUUGGUUAUUGCAUGAGAUCUGACCAUUGUAAGUGCUGAACUGGGACUGUUUGCAUUUUAAAGUGACUGCAGGACUUUUUAUUACCUUUGAGUGACCAAAAGGACUGUGCAGACUAUUUCAGUUUUCAUGCACGAAGGGCCACCCCCACUGAGGAAGUGGAAAUGAACUAUGGGAUUCAAAGUAAAAAUACCUUUAUGACACCAUUUCCUGAGUCCUGCUCGUUCAAUGUCGUGGUUACACUAUAAAGUGCUUAGAGCAGUGGCCGGUUACAGUAACCACUAAGUAAUAGAGAUUCAGGCAACCUUGAGGUCCUAGAAAGGAGAGAGAGGAGACUGGGGACAGGAAAGGAAGGGGGAAUACAGAAAGGACAGUGGCAGAUGUGUCAGGGUGGAUAUCCAGCCCCAUUACUAGAAGUUGAGCUCUAGUGGUGCCUUGCCCACGCAUGAGGGCUGUGAGGGGCCUGGAGCUGAGAGGGGAUCACUGGACAUACAUCUCUGCAAUUAAUUAAUCCAUAAAGCCACUGUGUUUGGAGGAGGACAAAGAGGCACUUCUGUUCUGCCGGCUGGAGCCCAUCUCUCUGGGGAGCGUGUGUUCUUCCCUGGAGGAGUGAGUAUGUCUUUAUGUUAUUGGCCUUAAAACAUCAACUGUCUCUACUGAGCCUAACCUGUCACUACGAAGGGAUCAGUCCAAGUGAAAAACUCAUUCUUAUUCUUAAGAUGCUGAAAAUAUAGUUGGAGAAAAAAGACAUGUGAAUAGAAAAUUGAUAAUAAAGUCUUAGUAAAAGCUCAAAGUAAAAGCUCCAGGUGAUCAGGAAGAGCUAGCAUCAGGGCAUUGCAGCCUUACCUGCCAGAUGACUGCUUCAGGCCAGAAUCACUAUAGUUCAGGGCAAGGAGACUGGUGGACUUGGAAUUGAUCACACAGUGACCCCAGCCACAGUACUUAACCACUGUGAGCUCCCAUUUCCUAACCUGUCAGGGAGCAAAGGAAUAUGGGAGAAUAGAAUGAUACUGUGCUGGUGAAAACACACUGUAAGUGCAACUGUUAAUUUUCUUUCUUCCUUUCAGAUGACUGGGGUGGAGAAAAGUCAGGGCUAAUGGGGCCUGAGCUGAGACUUGCAGUAAGAGGAGGAUUUGGUGUCUGUAUCAUCACAGGUAGAUUAUAGUACUGAAAAGCCUGGGGGAGGGGAAGUUCAAGGUGCUUUGGUUAACAGUGACCUGAGAGAGUGACUGGUUGGGGGUAAGGGACAUAAAGAUGGGUGGAAAGGCAAGUUGAAAUUGUGGGGUCCUUGAGUUUCAGGAUCAUUGUAAUAGCAAUGAUCAUUUAGUUGGUGUUAUGGGCUGAAUUGUGUCCCCUGAAAUUCAUUUGCUGAAGUCCCUCCUAGUACCUCUGAAUGUGACUGUAUUUGGAGACUGGGGUGUCACAGAGGUGAUUAAGGUAAAAUGAGGUUGUUGGGGUAGACUCUAAUCCAGCAUGACCAGGGUCCUUAAAAGCAGAGGAGAUUUGGACAGAGAUAAAUGCAGAGGGAAGAUGACGUGAAGACACCGGGGAAGAUGGCCAUCUACAAGCCGAGAAGAAAGAUCUGGAACAGAUUUUCCCCCACAGCCCUCUGAAGGAACCAACCCUGCUGACACCUUGAUUUCAGGCUUCCAGCCUCCAGAACUGCCAUGGCUAACACAGUGGGCUCCUUGAAGAUGUCCCUGCCUGAAGCACUGAGGACCCUCCACCAAAUUCAGAAGCAGCCUCUCUUCCUCCACCUCCUGUGGUCGUGCUGGCCUCACCAGGGUGAGAUGGCACAGGACUGACGAGGAGAGAGGUCCGGGCACUCCAGGACUCAGUUCCAAUCUGGACUCUGCUCAUGGCCUCGGAGGCGUCAAUACCAAAUAUUCAGUGAUUCAGCAAACAUGUAUUGAAUACCUAAUAUUUGCUGGCAAUGUGCAGUGCUCUAGGAUACAAAAAUUUCUUUAAACAAUGAUAUUUUAAUAAAAUAAGACAUGCAGAAUUCUAGCUAAGCUAAACAUAUGAAUAUUUCCUUUUUAAAGUCAGUGAUUUACCUGGUAUCUUUGCAGUAGACAGUUACAAAACCGAGAUACAAAUGUUGUGAGAGAGUCUAGAUUUCAGAACAAGGUCCUAGAACAGGGCUAAGCACAUCGUCGUGUUGAAUGAACACCUGCUGAGCUAACAGAGGUUGUAAGAACCGGGCAUGAUGAAAGCACCUAGGAGAGGCACCCAGCACAUGGGUGGGGCAAGGAAAGCAUCCUGGGAGAGCAACUCCUGAUGCCACUUUGCAAGAGAACCGCCCUCUAGGGAAUGUGAGGCAACAGAGCAAAAGCCACAUUCCCACGGUGCUGCCAACACUCAAAGGUAGGCUGAGGUGCCGUGGGGUCAGUACUGCACUGAUGGAAGCAGGGACAGUCUCCACUCAAACUGAAGUUUUCGCAAACAGGGCCAUUUGGCUCACACCUACCUGCUGAGGGGGCCCGUUGCUGGUAUCUUGUUUUCACUAAGUCACUAGGUGUCAUGUUUAGCAGAGACACAGCAGAAUCCAGGCCUAAAUUACCUGCUGUAUCGCCUUCCUCUAACUUCCUGAUGGAAUUCUCUUGUCAGGCAUUUGUCUUCAUCCCAGAAAAAUGAGCUUGCCGAAGGCCAACUCCAUCAACUCAAUCUUUUUCCAGAAUUCCAGUCAGGCCCAAGCUAGGAUGAUUUCAUUUUUUCACUGGUGGGAGUACAAGCGUGCUUUGGAAAAGAAUUGCUUUGGAAAAGUGGUUGGUAAUGCAUGUAGACACAUGACAGAAGAAUAUUAACUUUGAUAGUAACUGGAGCUGGGUUUGACUUUGGCCUCAACCACUCACCAGCUCUAGGGCUCUUUGUGCUGAGAAGGCUGUGGGGCCAUCACCAUUGUCUCUGAAUAUUCCAGAUGAGGAUGCUGAGCUCCAGAGAAGGACUGUGGCACCCCAAGGACACCCAGAUGACAGUACGGGUGAGGAGCUAAGCCCAUUGCCUUUCAGCCACACAACACUGUGUGGUUUAUGGGGUCCUACCCUGGAAGGGUCUGUGGUCUAAGUACCUAGGAAGUGCUGACAUUCACACGCUGAUGGUGGUGAGCAAUCAUGCCAUGUGGAUUGGUGUCUGGGGAAGUACGACAUGUCCUUCCUCUCCUCAGCCCUUCGAGACCCUGGCUUAGGCUGGGCACAUAACAGGGAGUCCAUGACUAUAUACAGGAAUGAAUGAUCCUUUGCCUCAGGAAUCUUAGAACAAUGCCAACAGCGCUAACAGUACUUUGUACAACACUUCACAGUUCUCUUAAGUGCUUCUGCAUACAUUAUCUCAUUUCAUGUACCUGCUCUCAUUUGAAAUUGUUGCAGGGUGUAAGCGUAUAAUUAAAAUAUCAAUUAAGCCAGAUUCUGAAAUAAAUCAGGCUGUGCUAGAGCAUGAAUUAAAAAAAAAACAAAAAUAAAAACAAUGACAACUCAUCAGUCUAGGACUCAUUCCCCAGGUACGACCCACAACUCACCUCCCCUCCACCCCAGCUUUGCUCCAAUUUCAUCGUCAUACUCAUUGGACCCUCAUGGGCGGUUUUCCCUGAUUUUGCUCUUAUUGUGUCCCCUGUUAGGAAUCCUCCUGCCUAAUCUGUCUGUGAAAGAAGGUCUUCUUUAAUCUUGAGAAGUCUUGGUUAUAUAUCUCCAAUUUUCUUAUAGUUUUCUUAACACCUUCUUUUGCCCUGUCCACUGCUGUAGAAUUAGCUGCUUCUCCAGACUGUGUUAUAUCCCAUCUUAUGUAGUACUGUAAUGAUUCACUUUUACUCAUCCUCUUUCAUCAGCUGUUUUAUGAUCUGUAAUGCCUGGGAUCCUAUAGGUGUUAGAUAUAUGUCUGUUACCUGAAUGAAGAGAUAAGCCUGGGGCAUUUGGUGGCCAGGUGGAAUCUCUGGUGGAUGGCAUUUAUUAAGCCUGCUGUUCUCCACAUGCCUCAGCCCAGUGCCAAAUAGAGCAGAUUCCCUGGGGGUGAGGCCAUCACUGAGGACCAAUUUAUUCUUUCAGUGCAGGCCCGUUUCUGCACGAAGCUGCUUGCCAGGUAAAGAAUAAAUCUCAAGUUUUACAACUUGUUUAUUUUCUAACCAGACUUCUCAUUAAAAAGAACAAAACAAAACAGAACACCCAAAAAAAUCCAUUCUCUUUCACAAACAAUAAAAUACCCAGGAAGGAUUAUGGAAGAUUUCAAAAAAUAAUUGCCUCUGUAGACAGUGGAUAAGGUGUGUGUAUGUGAGCACAUUAGGCAUGUGUGUGUGUGCAUGUGUGUGCAUGCACACUCACACAUAUACACUGAUGACAUGGUGUGUCUGAAGGUUAAGCAGACUGAGGUUCAAAUCCAGACUGACUGUUCACCAACUGUGUGAUCUAGGGUUUCUGUAUAACAGGGGUGAUACGACCUGCAUUGUGAGGUUGCUGUGAGGACCCAAACGGUGCAGAAGAGCCAGUGCGGUUCCCAGCUCUCAGAGACUCUCUCCGCAAAGGCAAAUUGGACUAUGAGGAUGGCCCGCAGCUUCCUGGAAAGCUCUCCAUCCCCUGGAGCCCUACGCACACACACUGGCCCAUUUUUGUGGCAUUUGGCAGUACCGCCUAUCAUCAUUUAUCUUUUCCAAUGCAUCUAUCUAUCUCCCUAACUGUGCUGGAACCACCUCAAGGGCAGGGCCAGCUCUAACACUUCUUUAUGUCUUGCAGAGGAGAUGCCUACUAGGUGGUUUGGCCCGAUGGGCCACGGUCCCAUCCGGAAGGCCCUGGGGAGAGUCUGAAUCUCCAUAGGAGUCUUCUCUGCCCUGCUUCUAGGUCUCACUUCAGACUUACUACUGGCCUGCUAGAGGGUUCCUGAUGCCAAUAGAUUAUUUCAGAAGCUGCUCUUCAGCUUUUCCUCCUGGUCAAAAGUGUGAGGAUGGGUAGCACAAUGGAACAGAGCUUCAUGGUGCCAACUCCAACACUAGGCCUUCAGGAUCGUUAAACCCUCCACCAAGAGUGUGCAGCAGAAGUGGCAGCUAUGAAAGCUUCUGGAAGUGGCCCAGGAGUGCAGGAGAAUAAAGACAGCAGAAAAGCGCGUGCCCAAGCUGGCUGACUGCCCCGCGUUGUGCUGAGGACCUAUAGCAGAUGUGAGUGCCCGGACAGCAGUAACCAGGAAAACUCCAAGGAAUAUCUCUGGGAGAGAAGCCCCCAUACCCUCUGAUGGGAUAUCAAGCUAAGUGAAAGCAGGAUGUGAAGGUGCUUUGUAGGUUGUAGAGUGUAAGAGAUUCCCUUCCUUCCUCGUUUUCUUCCUUCUUCGUCCCUCCCUCCUUUCUCCAUCUAUUGAGCAGUGGCUGGCAUUCUGCAAAGGGAUGGACACAUGAAGAUGGUCAGAACACAGGUCCUGCUCCCACAAUUCAUAGUGGAGAGGGGAGAUGAGACACACAAAAAGGGUCAUUAUUUCUUUGAUUUUAAGAUGCACUCUCAACAUAAGAGUUUCUGAGAGGAAAAAAAAUCAGAAACAGUAUCACACUAAAUGUACACGUUGUUUGCAAAACAUCCUUAUUUUAGAAACAUACGGAUGUGAAAAAAGGGUAUGUUUCAAAAUUGAGCACUUUGGGCAGAGUAGUCAGUAUCACAAUAGGAGUAGGUAGAGUGACUUAUCAGAACAUAAAAAUGUGGGGGAAAAAAAUCUCUGUCUUAAAAGUAGUAGUUACAGCAGUGUGAUCAUUGUCAUAAGAGCGGGGGUACAAGGCUCCACUGGAACCCACUGGAAGGAGAUCUGAACGCUGCCUGGGGACACCAGGUAGGGCUUCAGUGGAAGAUGGUGUUGCAGGGCCACCUUCUGGGUGAAUAAUGGUGGACAGGGGUGGGUAAAGAAGCCAGAGGAGGGGUUCUCAGGCAGGGGAGCAACGCUGGCAGAGGCAGGAGACAAAGGAGAGUGUGGUGCAUUCUGGGAACAGCUGCUUGUCAUCAUGGAGAUUGUUAAUAAUAGUGGAGGAAUAGAGGGGGCCUUCAGUCUGGAGACGCCUGGCUGCAUCUCAUCACAGAGACAACAGGGAGGGACAGGUGGGCUUCGCAGUGUAACAGAAUGAGGCGUCUCUGCUAAACUUGCCCAUCUCUUGGAAAGUUUCUGUUUUCUAUUUACAUAAGUCAUAAAUUGAUUGCCUAAUGCAAAAAUGAUGUGUUCUCAAAUAGUUAGGAAAUACAACAGAUUUCAAUCAAUAGAUUCAAAAUUCUUCAUUACAUCUGCUUGCUUAUUCCCUUAAACCUUUGCUCCAGAGGAGGUAUGCCCUUUAGAAGUGAUUGAUUAUGUUGCUCCUGUGGGCACAUGCACUUCUUACAGGUUCUUGUCUUUCUCUGUCUCCCUCUCGCUCUGUCUUUCUCUCUUUCUCUUCUUCCCCAUGGUUGUCAAGCAGCUACUCAGCUGCAACAUCAGGCAUGCAUCAAGGAAUAUAUUUUUUGUUCGAUGUGUAUGUGCACAUGAGGCUGUCUCUGAAUUGCAUCCUCACAGAAUAACCUUUGGGUGUUGAUGUGAGGAUGCUAUUAGAAGGAAAUUCAUUUAUGUUGGGCCCAGGACAGGGAGAAAGCUACCACAGUGUUGAAAGAAAGCCAAGUAAACAGUCUGGAACGUCGAGGCUGGGUAAAAGAGAUGGACGGUACUGGGUUAAUUAGGACGUUCCCCUAGACUAUGUCUCUUUAUGCUCCUAGGGGGAUGGAUAUUCUCUGGGAGCAGAGAAGCGCCCCUCUGGUCCUUUCUGCAUUCACUUAUUUGUUCAACCCAUCCUAGGCCUGGAGGAAAGAGUCCCCUGGCUUCUCCCCCUUCAUGCCCUUUCUCAGCCCUGGGAGGGCUGUGAGCUGUCAGAGCGCCCACUGUUAUGGAAAGGCACCCACUGCCCUGGCUCCUCCUGCUGGUUCUGCCACUGGAGCCUCUUUGGAUCAUGUUUCCUCAUCUGUGAAAUCAGCCUGUUUACUAGUUAAUCUCUAAGGUUGUGCCUCAGCCCUAUGACAGUAAUUCAGACAAGCAUAGACAAUGUGGCUCAGUGUUUACACUGCGUGCCAGGCAUUCUGCUGAGAGCCUUCCUCCUUUAAUCCCCAUGGCAACUCUGUGUGGUUUGAGGCCCUGAGGCUCUGACAUACUAGCUACCUCGGCCCCAGGGAAUGUAACUGGUAAGUGGCAGAACUGGAGUGAGCCCAUGUCUGUGAUUUUGUAGCCUACAUGUUGAUUUGUUUUCUUAGUCAGGUUGUUGUAACAAAACCCAUUGACGUGAUGGUUUAAACAACAAACAUUUAUUUCUCACAGUUUGGAGGCUGGGAAGUCCAAGAUCAAGAUGCCCACAGAGUCCGUGUCUGCCGAGAUCUCUCUUCCCGGUUUACAGAUGGCCGCCUUCUUGCUGUGUCCUCCCACAGCUGACAGAGAGAGAGAAAGAGAGGGAGAGAGAAAGAGUUCUAGUAUCUUUCUCUUCUUAUAAGGACAUUAAUUCCAUCAUGAGGACCGUACCCUCAUGAACUCAUUAAAUCUAGUCCUGUCCCAAAGGCCCUACCUCCCAAUACCACCACAUUGUGGUGUUAGGGCUUUGAUAUAUGAAUUUUGGAGGGACACAAACGUUCAUUCCGUAACAGACAUUAUGCAAUCUUGCCUCCUUCCAUGAUGUGGAGAGAGUGUGGGUGAGACUUGAGUCACCCUUAGAACCAGUAGGAGGGCACUCUGCUCUCCACCUCCAGCACUGGGCAGAGAGGGAGUAAUCAGGGGGCCUGCUAGCAGAACUCUGGAAGCUGGUGAACAGAGAUCCUAUGUAAUGUUUAUGAAAACAGAUACUUGUUAGAGACAAGCUACUGCCUGGGAGUAUCUGUGACAAUUUGUGAACAUCCAACCAUUCAUUCCACAAGUAUCUUUUAAACACCUACACUCUUUUAAGGGGCUGGGAAUGCAGUGGUGAACAAGACAGGGAGCUUACAUUUCAGUAGGGUAAAAAGACAUCAACUAAUCCCACAAAUAAAUGGGUCAUUGAAAAUUGUGUUAAAUACGAGGAAAGACUAUGCAGAGUACUGUGGAGUGUACAUACUGGUGGCCAGAUCUUGUCCUGGGCGAAGAUGUGGUCAUUGAAGAUCUCCCUGAGGAAGUGGUUGCAGAGCAGAGAUCUCAAGGGUCUGAAGGCUCUAGGGAACUGUGUGACUGUAACCUAGAGGGCAGGGGUGAGGGGUGCGGAGGGCCAAGUGCUGUAGAGCUUUGCAGGUAACUUAAGUUGGUACUUUAUUCCAAGUACAGUAGAAAACCAUUGCAAGGUUCUAACCAGGAAAGUGAUGUGAGCUGGUCUGCCCUGAAACAAAAUCACUUGGCUGUGGUUUGGAAGAGGCCCUCAUGGGAGCAAGAAAGCUGGUUGGAGGGCUGUGCUUAUCACUUGUGUAGACUGAACAGCUGGCAAUAGCUGGGCUAGAGUUGGCAGUGGAAGUGGAAGGAAGGAUUGGGGGAUAUGUAGAAGGUAAAAUCAGCAACAUGGCAGGGAGUGGCUUGAGUUAGGGCUGAAGGAGGGAAUAAUUGACAUAAAUAGGGAAGGCAAGCUCAUUCAAUAUCCUGAUGCGAUUUUUUAAGAGGUAAUGCCCCUUUCAAAAGCUUCCCAAAAUUUCUAGCUGGGUCAGUUAGGAUAACUUCACUUGUAUGUUAGAGAAAUCCCCCAACUCAGUGGUCAUAAACAGUUAGGAACCAUGUCACAUAACAAGGAAUGCCUUGGUGGCAGGGCUUCUGGGUGGUGGGAUCAGCAUUUCCAGACAUCAGACACCCAGUCACAGUCCCAUUAUGUUCAGGUUCAACUGGCCAGAGUGAGGCACAUCUCCAUCUUGUAAAUCAAUCUCUGCCCAGGCAGUAGGGUUACCAUGACAGCUCAGGAUUUUGCUCUGGACUAGGAAUGGGUCACCUUCCCUGAGGAGCGGAUAAGUGGACCCGAGGUUCUGUUAGGUGAGACUAGAUAUUGGUGUCAUGGACCAAGUCCCAGAUUUUGGAUUUCUUAGACCAAUAAACAUGAUAAAAGGAGUGGGUGAGACAACUGGUGACAGGAUUGCCAACUUUUCAUUUUUACCUGAAGACUUAAAACAAUUACUAUCUACUGUCUCUAUCAUUUCAUCAAAAGGAUAUUUUAAAAGCAAAGAAGAAAGAAAACCUUUUAAGCUUAAAAAAUUUAGCGUUAUAAAAACUUGCUGUUUUUUCUCAUUUCUCUUAUCUGAAAUUUAGAAACCAUUCUCUUGGACCACUAUGAACAACAUAAAACAGAGGUUCUUAGCUGAAUUUGUGGAAUAGAAGUUGGAGCGGCCAUGAACGUAGCAGCGCAGCCUUUGGUGACACAGACGAGUUCAAACAUGUCUGAUGGCUGAGCGGACUGUCGAAGUGUGAGAUUUAGAGUAACUCCUUGUGAUCGCUAACAGAUUGCACCGUGACACGGGUUCUGCACAGUGUGAAUACCUUUGUGGGAAACAGUGACAGUCUGAGAAAUGAGGACCAUUAUUUCUAGAAAGUCACAGAGAGUCACAUGAAGCAAUAGCUGAAUUUCAAGAACAGGACUGUUGAGCAACUGUCUAAUCCCCUGGUCUAUGCAAAGACCCAAUUUAUCUUGAGCUGACAAAGAAAAGGAGGGUAUGAUCAAAACUGUGCACCUGGUUUCUUUACAUUAAUGAAGGGAUGGGACAUAAAAGCCACAAUAACUUCCCUACUAUUGUGGAAAGAUUCUUGAGAAGGGAGUUUUGAAGUCAGGAAGACUGAGAGAGUCUCCCAUGUCUGUCAAUCUAGAAAAUGCAUCCAAGGAAAUGAAGAGCUUUGUGCGUAUGCGGAUGAAGAAAGCUCAGUUUGAAAAAGCCAAGAUACUUCGAAAAUGUGGAUUUGCCGUUUCAUGAAAACUUCUGGAAGCACUCCUGAAGUUUCUUAGCAAGUGCCAAACAAGAAGGCUCACUUUACUGGAGGAAGUUUACCAAAAGCCACACGUACUGGGCAUGAUGAGAAGCAGGGAAAUGACUCUCUAGUCAGAGGAGCUGCUUCCAUGAAGAAUGGUUGACAUAUUUUGAAGUGGAUUAUGGAGGGAUUGGCAGCCCUGCCACUCCCCUCAGCAAGCCACUCAAUGAAACUAUAGACCUCUUUCAACAUAGCUGCCUCCUUGUUUUGUUCAUGAUGACCCUGCUCAUGUCAACAAAGAAUUCUUGUGUUUUGGGGCGCCUGGGUGGCACAGCGGUUGGGCGUCUGCCUUCGGCUCAGGGCGUGAUCCCGGUGUUGUGGGAUCGAGCCCCACAUCAGGCUCCUCCGCUAUGAGCCUGCUUCU